rnacentral:rRNA from 1 species
CCUACGGGUGGCAGCAGUGAGGAAUAUUGGUCAAUGGGCGAGAGCCUGAACCAGCCAAGUCGCGUGAGGGAGUACUGUCCUAUGGGUUGUAAACCUCUUUUGUCGGGGAGCAAAAUCCGGCCGUGUUUGGCUUUGAGAGUACCCUAAGAAAAAGCAUUGGCUAACCCCGUGCCAGCAGCCGCGGUAAUACGGAGGAUGCGAGCGUUAUCCGGAUUUAUUGGGUUUAAAGGGUGCGUAGGCGGGCUGUUAAGUCAGCGGUAAAAGGGCGGGGCUCAACCCCGGCCUGCCGUUGAAACUGGCGGCAUCGAGUGGGCGAGAAGUAUGCGGAAUGCGUGGUGUAGCGGUGAAAUGCAUAGAUAUCACGCAGAACUCCGAUUGCGAAGGCAGCAUACCGGCGCCCGACUGACGCUGAGGCACGAAAGCGUGGGUAUCGAACAGGAUUAGAUACCCGGGUAGUC